rnacentral:rRNA from 1 species
GCUUGUCUCAAAGAUUAAGCCAUGCAUGUCUAAGUAUAAACAACUUUAUACUGUAAAACUGCGAACGGCUCAUUAUAUCAGCAAUAAUUUAUUUGAUGGUUUCUUACCCCAUGGAUAACCGUGGUAAUUCUAGAGCUAAUACAUGCUAAAAACCUCGACUUCGGAAGGGGUGUAUUUAUUAGAUAAAAAACCAAUGCCCUUCGGGGCUCCUUGGUGAAUCAUAAUAACUUAACGAAUCGCAUGGCCUUGCGCCGGCGAUGGUUCAUUCAAAUUUCUGCCCUAUCAACUUUCGAUGGUAGGAUAGUGGCCUACCAUGGUAUCAACGGGUAACGGGGAAUUAGGGUUCGACUCCGGAGAGGGAGCCUGAGAAACGGCUACCACAUCCAAGGAAGGCAGCAGG